AACGAACGCUGGCGGCAUGCCUAACACAUGCAAGUCGAACGAAGGCUUCGGCCUUAGUGGCGCACGGGUGCGUAACGCGUGGGAAUCUGCCCUUUGCUUCGGAAUAACAGUUAGAAAUGACUGCUAAUACCGGAUGAUGUCGCAAGACCAAAGAUUUAUCGGCAAAGGAUGAGCCCGCGUAGGAUUAGCUAGUUGGUGGGGUAAAGGCCUACCAAGGCGACGAUCCUUAGCUGGUCUGAGAGGAUGAUCAGCCACGCUGGGACUGCGACACGGCCCAGACUCCUACGGGAGGCAGCAGUGGGGAAUAUUGGACAAUGGGCGAAAGCCUGAUCCAGCAAUGCCGCGUGAGUGAUGAAGGCCUUAGGGUUGUAAAGCUCUUUUACCCGGGAUGAUAAUGACGGUACCGGGAGAAUAAGCUCCGGCUAACUCCGUG
rnacentral:rRNA from 1 species